AACGAACGCUGGCGGCAUGCCUAACACAUGCAAGUCGAACGAGAUCUUCGGGUCUAGUGGCGCACGGGUGCGUAACGCGUGGGAAUCUGCCCUUUGGUUCGGAAUAACAGUUGGAAACGACUGCUAAUACCGGAUGAUGACGAAAGUCCAAAGAUUUAUCGCCAGAGGAUGAGCCCGCGUAGGAUUAGCUAGUUGGUGUGGUAAAGGCGCACCAAGGCGACGAUCCUUAGCUGGUCUGGGAGGAUGAUCAGCCACACUGGGACUGAGACACGGGGCAGACGCCUCCGGGAGGCGGCAGUGGGGAAGAAUGGACAAUUGGCGAAAGCCUGAUCCAGCAAUGCUGCGUGAGUGAUGAAGGCAGUAGGGUUGUAAAGCUCUUUUACCCGGGAAGAUAAUGACAGUACCGGGGGAAUAAGCUCCGGUUAACUCCGUGCCAGCCGCCGCCGUAA
rnacentral:rRNA from 1 species